rnacentral:rRNA from 1 species
AGAGUUUGAUCCUGGCUCAGGAUGAACGCUAGCUACAGGCUUAACACAUGCAAGUCGAGGGGCAGCAUGGUCUUAGCUUGCUAAGGCCGAUGGCGACCGGCGCACGGGUGAGUAACACGUAUCCAACCUGCCGUCUACUCUUGGACAGCCUUCUGAAAGGAAGAUUAAUACAAGAUGGCAUCAUGAGUCCGCAUGUUCACAUGAUUAAAGGUAUUCCGGUAGACGAUGGGGAUGCGUUCCAUUAGAUAGUAGGCGGGGUAACGGCCCACCUAGUCUUCGAUGGAUAGGGGUUCUGAGAGGAAGGUCCCCCACAUUGGAACUGAGACACGGUCCAAACUCCUACGGGAGGCAGCAGUGGGGAAUAUUGGUCAAUGGGCGAGAGCCUGAACCAGCCAAGUAGCGUGAAGGAUGACUGCCCUAUGGGUUGUAAACUUCUUUUAUAAAGGAAUAAAGUCGGGUAUGGAUACCCGUUUGCAUGUACUUUAUGAAUAAGGAUCGGCUAACUCCGUGCCAGCAGCCGCGGUAAUACGGAGGAUCCGAGCGUUAUCCGGAUUUAUUGGGUUUAAAGGGAGCGUAGAUGGAUGUUUAAGUCAGUUGUGAAAGUUUGCGGCUCAACCGUAAAAUUGCAGUUGAUACUGGAUAUCUUGAGUGCAGUUGAGGCAGGCGGAAUUCGUGGUGUAGCGGUGAAAUGCUUAGAUAUCACGAAGAACUCCGAUUGCGAAGGCAGCCUGCUAAGCUGCAACUGACAUUGAGGCUCGAAAGUGUGGGUAUCAAACAGGAUUAGAUACCCUGGUAGUCCACACGGUAAACGAUGAAUACUCGCUGUUUGCGAUAUACGGCAAGCGGCCAAGCGAAAGCGUUAAGUAUUCCACCUGGGGAGUACGCCGGCAACGGUGAAACUCAAAGGAAUUGACGGGGGCCCGCACAAGCGGAGGAACAUGUGGUUUAAUUCGAUGAUACGCGAGGAACCUUACCCGGGUUUGAACGCAUUCGGACCGAGGUGGAAACACCUUUUCUAGCAAUAGCCGUUUGCGAGGUGCUGCAUGGUUGUCGUCAGCUCGUGCCGUGAGGUGUCGGCUUAAGUGCCAUAACGAGCGCAACCCUUGUUGUCAGUUACUAACAGGUUUCGCUGAGGACUCUGACAAGACUGCCAUCGUAAGAUGUGAGGAAGGUGGGGAUGACGUCAAAUCAGCACGGCCCUUACGUCCGGGGCUACACACGUGUUACAAUGGGGGGUACAGAGGGCCGCUACCACGCGAGUGGAUGCCAAUCCCCAAACCCUCUCUCAGUUCGGACUGGAGUCUGCAACCCGACUCCACGAAGCUGGAUUCGCUAGUAAUCGCGCAUCAGCCACGGCGCGGUGAAUACGUUCCCGGGCCUUGUACACACCGCCCGUCAAGCCAUGGGAGCCGGGGGUACCUGAAGUCCGUAACCGAAAGGAUCGGCCUAGGGUAAAACUGGUGACUGGGGCUAAGUCGUAACAAGGUAGCCGUACCGGAAGGUGCGGCUG